ACAACCAUAUCAUGUUGAAAUACCGAUUCUCAUACAAUCACUGAAGUUAAGCAACGUUGACCUUGGUCGGUACCUAGAUGGGUGAUCGCUUGAGAAUACCAGAUGC